rnacentral:ncRNA from 1 species
UGACAAGUGAUGAUUGGGAAAAGGUGAUAGACCAACCGCUCAGAGAGCCGGUGGAUGCUGCGAACCGGUGCGGAGCUGUCAUUGAAGUCACCCAUGAACUCUUUUGCUGAUCUGCAUGCAUGUGCUUUAGGCAAGAGCGAGACCGGACGUUAACCGGAAGCCUCAAUUUCGAGGCGUAGAGUAUAAUGUAGGGUGGUACCGCGAAAAUCGCCCCUAUU